AACAGUAUUACAAGCCCAAGUGAGAAAGAACGUACAAGUAAGAUCCUAUUUAUUUCUAUUACAGCAAAAUCAUGCCCCAAUUGGUGGACUGAAUAUGACGGCAAAUGCUACAAGUUGGAGAAACAAAAAGUCAAGUGGGAACAAGCGAACGCACAGUGCAAACGCUCACGUGCAAAUCUCGCUUCCGUUCUGAAUCCUGGGGAGAACAAAUUCCUGAAAAGACUCGCGUCUACAGCUCCGGAGGGCAAGAUUCCCCUUGUCUGGAUUGGGCUAUCACGUGAAAGCGGUAAAGACUUUAAAUGGUCAGAUGGGUCACCAUCAGUUUCCUUCGCGAAUUGGGCUCCGGGCGAGCCGGGAUGGGGCGAAAAUUGUGUUGGAAUGUACUUCAAGACCGGCAAAAAUUGGAUCUUUGGAAGAAAGAGGAAGAGAGGAGAGUGGAACGACGAACACUGCUGGUCUCACUAUCCUUACGUUUGUAAGCGUCAAAAAUAGAAAAUAAGCACAAAAUGCGACUUUCUGUCAAUAGAUUAAUCAAGCAAUUAGGUUGAACUGAACGUUAGACGUCUUAUUUCUAGUUUUAUUAUGAUAAGGACUACUGUUGACUUCAACACUAAGAAUAAGAAAAGAACAGUUUCUCUCGAUGAAUCAAGAAAGUAGUUUGGAUUGAAAAGCUAGUGGACUUACUACAUUACCUUUUA